rnacentral:rRNA from 1 species
AACGCGAAGAACCUUACCUGGCCUUGACAUCCCAGGAAUCCUGCAGAGAUGCAGGAGUGCCUUCGGGAACCUGGAGACAGGUGCUGCAUGGCUGUCGUCAGCUCGUGUCGUGAGAUGUUGGGUUAAGUCCCGCAACGAGCGCAACCCUUGUCCUUAGUUGCCAUCAUUUAGUUGGGAACUCUAAGGAGACCGCCGGUGACAAACCGGAGGAAGGUGGGGAUGACGUCAAGUCAUCAUGGCCUUUAUGGCCAGGGCUACACACGUGCUACAAUGGCGGAUACAGAGGGAAGCCAACGCGCGAGCGGGAGCCAAUCCCAGAAAAUCUGUCGUAGUCCGGAUCGGAGUCUGCAACUCGACUCCGUGAAGUCGGAAUCGCUAGUAAUCGCAGAUCAGCAUUGCUGCGGUGAAUACGUUCCCGGGCCUUGUACACACCGCUCGUC